GAUCAAUUGGUAAGUAGUUGUAAUGUUUGAAGAAAUACAGACACGACACACACUGCAAUAGCGAUGUCAGAGGUUGAUUUUGAUUUCGAUCAUCAACGACACCCACGCCUCUUCAUCCCCAACUUCCUCUCCCUUCAAGAAUGCAAGGAACUUGAAUUCAUCCACAAGAGUUGCAGCAGCGUGGGUUACAGACCCAAUGUCUUCUCUACCACUCUAUCCCAUCUCAUUGCUACCAACUCUUCCCACUUCAUCAUCCCUUUUAUACUCAUCCGAGAAAGGUUGAAGGACAAGCUAGAGGAGUUUUUCAAAUGUGAGUAUGAGCUCUUUAUUGAAUUCACUGGUUUGAUAAGCUGGAGCAAAGGAGCAAGCAUUGGAUGGCAUAGUGAUGAUAAUAGGCCUUACCUCAAACAACGGCACUUCUCAGCAGUGUGCUAUUUGAAUACUUAUGGGAAGGAUUUCAGUGGUGGACUCUUUCACUUCCAGGAUGGUGAACCAACAUUAAUUAUGCCCAAGGCCGGAGAUGUUGUGAUGUACACAGCUGAUGAACGUAACAUUCAUUCUGUUGAUGAGAUAACUGAAGGAGAAAGACUCACACUUGCUUUAUGGUUCAGUCGUAAUGGUUCCCAUGAUGAGGAUACACAGCUUAUUUCUCUUCUUUCACAACAUCUAUUGCAUAAGAGCGUGGCUGAUUCAUACCUACCUUUGCCAGCAUCCAGUAAUAUGUACUGGUUUUCUCAGGACCAAGCUUCUGAUUACCGUUUUGGUUUUAAUAUAUGUUGGGCUAGACUGCAUGUUCUCGGAUAUGACACAUAUAUUUCUCAAGACAGUAGCUGUAAGUCUGAUGUCUCUGAAUUACUGGUUAAGCCGGUGCGCUUAGUGAGGGGAAAUGAGUUACUUGACCAGGAAUUUGUCAAUAUUUUGCAUGCACUUCAGGUUGUCCAUUUCUACUGUUGGGAAGGUUCUGCUUUACAGACCAAGGUGUCAAAUAUAGACUCCAAGGUAGUAAAACUGACCGAUGUACAGAGAGAGAAAAUCAGUGGGCUAAAUUCUGUACUUUUGAAUGAUGUUGCUUUCGUGUCUAGAGUUUUCCAUGGUAUGCCUUCCAAAGAAAAAGGAUGCAUUUGCUUUGACUGGACAGGAAUUGUGGCUGCAGCUGCUGCUUGGGAAGAUUAUGCAGUGAAGUUAAGCAAACAAAUUCAUUUACAGUUGCCUUACUGGAAAAUGCAUGAAUCAAUAUAUAAUGUGCAAUUAGGCGAGUACGUUUCCCACAAUCGACAAUUCCAAGAAAAAAGUGACUUCUAACAAAUGUGCUAGGGUUUAAAAAUUGGAAAAUGGCAUUGGUAAAGCAACUUUAGACUUGUUUGUGAAGGUCUGCUCUGAUAGCAGUUUUCGAGUCAACAUGGUUUUUGGGGAGUUUUAAGACCAAGCUGCUUAGGGAGAGAUGAGGUAUGGAACUCACGAAUAAGAUAAAUGUAAGUGUUACACAUACUUGAUGUAGAUUGGGUUGUUAGUCUCUUAGCAGUUAGCAUUGGAAGUACCCUGCCAAGUAAAGACAAGUACUCUUGGGUUCUCUUGGGUCCAUAUCUGGUGGCAAAUACUGCAAAGUACUGUAUGCCUUUUUUUUCCUCAAAUUUCUGUUACACGAGUUUGUGUGCAGUAUUACAGUACUGCAAGCUCGUUAAGACUGUUCUAAACAACCCUUCUAUUUUGUAUUUCAUUACAAAUAGUACAUUUAUACCAAAUUUCAGCCUUAGUGAUCUCUCUUUUCAAAAUACAUAGCUGGUGUUAAGGUCCCUUUUAGCUUAUUUGUAUCUAGGCUUGAGGUCUUUGGUUAUGCUCCAUAUAUGCAAAACCUUGCCAUAAAGGUCAUAAAACACAAUAUCUGUAUUGGUUUUGGUGACCUGCACAGACAUGAAUCCUUGCCCAUCAUAAUACAACUUGAGCUCUUCCGGAUUCCACUGGUUGACAUCACCCCUCCAUGCCUUUGAUCCCCCUCCACUUGUUAGAAAUUGGAUUCCACUACAUUGUUUAUGCGAACCACGGAAGCUUCAAUUUCAGAACAGUGGUGAUGUUGAUGCUAACCAUUUAAAAGUAAGACAUGUUUACCUCUUUUUGUCAAUUAUGUGUUCCAAGCAAUGAUCAUGUCCAUUUAUAUAUGCAUCAACAUUGUUUGCCUGGACCAACAACGAAGAAACUGGUUAGAAAUUGUAAAAAUGCAAUGGCUUCAACAACAAUAAUUGUCAUUACCUAGUUACACCAUGUCUCAUCUUUAAAAAAUACUAAGGGGGUACAUUUUGUAUUAGAUUGCAAAGAUAUCUUGGUAUCUUACUAAUCUUGAGAGUGUAAUUGUCAUUACCAUGUGUAAGAGACUAUGCCAUGUAUGUCAAUCAAUUUCAAUUGUCAUGCUAAACACACGACAAAUAUUGAAGACGAGUAUCUGUUGUAUCAAUAUGAGAAUGGCAAGGGACCAAGUGCUCUUAUUUGUUGAAAUGUGGUUCAUUUUAUCAUUUACCUCUAAGAUGGGAACAAGCAGCUCCUCAAGCUCGUGGGUAUUACCAUGAUGCCCAGCACUUUUGAUGGUAUGAUGUCCCACCACCAUCUUCCAUGUAGCCUCUGAUUGUGCCAAUGCUAAAUCAACGUCCUACACGAAGAUCCCAAAAUCAGAGUUGACAAUUUCCCUUCAUUCAAAUGUUCGCAUGUAAUGAAAUGAUAGAGGCUCGGGGCAGUGUAGAUGUCGACGAAUGACUCGUAGAAUGCUGGAUCAUCAUCUCCUGUUAGGCCAUCUUCGUAAAAAUUGUCACCAGUUGAGAUCACGAAAUCUAUAUUUAGUUUCGCCCCCACAAUUCCCAUCUAAAAAACAACCAAUGAGAAUAGUACUACUCUAUAAAC